CAGAGAAGGGAUGCUCCGAGGUGCUGGAGCCCGGGUGCCUUGUUGUAUCCCCACCUCAAGCCGAAGGGGUUUGCGCCAGCUGAGUGCUCAGAUGGACGCAGCAGCAGCAGCAGGACUGAGCUCCAGAGCUCGUAGGCCCCUCCUGGAAGGCCAGCUGUUCACCCCUCUUCGCCACUCCAUUGGGCAGAUUCUGGAUGAAACCUUCCAGGUAGCCACGUGGGAAGCAGAUGCACUCACACUUCGCACUAACAGAGGCCUCGUGCACGCGGCUGUCAUGGAACUCCUCACAGGGCCUCUGACUCUCUCCCCAGCAUGUUCUCCCACUUCCUCUUGACUGGGGACGCAGUGAUGGAGCCAGUGGCCCAAGCCUCUAGAUGCACCUGUACCUGUGGCUGAUGACCGUGUAACGAUGUUAAAACGCUGAGAAGAACCUACACAGCAAGUCUGGUUGCUUGUUCCCUGCAUGUCUCCAAGGAAACCUGGAGCCCUGACGGGAGCAUGGUUCUCAGGAGGCCUGUGAUGUCAGUGAUGGAUGGUGUUGUGUUCGCCUGGAGCAGUGGACCAUGCCCUGCUGGCCUGUUAGGACGGCUUUGCACAAAUGCCAAGACUGAUGAUGCGCGCCUGGUUUCAUUGCUGGAGCCUGGAAUUUCAGUUGCUGUGGCUGAUUGAUAGCCUGAUGGGUCUAUGUGACCCACCUCCCGUUAACACCUGGACCCUCAGGCAUGUGUGGGUUUUUUCCACUAGUGACUCUGCAGUUCUCUGCUGGAGAAAAAGCCUGUGCUUAGUGAGCUCAGAUGAGGAGGCGUGGCAGGGGGCUCCCGUGCCGGACAACUGGGGAUUCUGCCAACAUGUAUCUUUCCUUCCUAUUUCUGUUCUGCAUCUUCUGCUGAAAUAAAUCUUAGGAUAAAUCACAUCAUGGAGUCUUGUCAGUCUUCCUAGUGAAUCACCGAAUGUAGGGAGGUGUGGGCCCUCCAGCCCAGAACAGGAAAGAGUGAAGGCCGGUUCCUCUUUAUUCUACUGGACGCUGCCCAACCAAGGUCCAGGCCCUGCACACUCUCACUCAGCCCAGCACCUUCCAGGUUUGAAUGCAGGUGGUGAGGAACAAUGGGCAGAAUAGUUACAGGCAAAGCAGGAGCUCCAACCAUAAUCCCCUUCGGGUGGGUUCCUCUUGGGCUCAGAGCCCUGGAGUCCGCCCACCUGGGAAAUGCUGUGGGAAGCGUGAUGCCGGGGCAGAAGGGGAAGGGCAGG
rnacentral:lncRNA from 1 species